rnacentral:rRNA from 1 species
UACGUAGGGGGCUAGCGUUGUCCGGAAUCAUUGGGCGUAAAGCGCGUGUAGGCGGUUCGGUAAGUCUGCUGUGAAAGUCGGGGGCUCAACCCUCGAAUGCCGGUGGAUACUGUCGGACUAGAGUGCGGAAGAGGCGAGUGGAAUUCCUGGUGUAGCGGUGAAAUGCGCAGAUAUCAGGAGGAACACCAAUUGCGAAGGCAGCUCUCUGGGUCCCUACCGACGCUGGGGUGCGAAAGCAUGGGGAGCGAACAGG